UCUAUGCAGCUUAACUCUCUCAGACUUUUCAGAGCUGCCAUGUAAUCCCCAGGUUCUCAUUUACUACUCAACCUUUCUGCUAUUAUUUUAGAUCCUUCCUUGAAAGCCAUAUGGUGUUUCCUCCUGUGGUACGUUGGGUCUUAAACCACUGAGGAAGUCAUGUGACUGCCUGUACAAUCCAAAAUUCUGUGUAGUGGAACAGAGACAGUUUUUGCUAUGAAAUUUAUCACUGUGUACCGGGGCAGGAGUACCACAAUGAUAUAAACAGCAUAGGGACCUGUACAAAAACAGAAAGAGGGAAAAAAGUUUUGGAAGUAAAUGUACCUCUGGAUCUCCUCAUAAACCUGCACCCAUGGAUAAUUAGGACUAAUAUCUGGCUUCUCAUUGCCCAUUUUUACAACACUUUUGAAUACCAUGUGGAAAGAGUGGGUUAUUGGAAUGAGUCCUAGCAGUGUGAAGAUAGAUAAGCUUAUAUUUGGACCGGGGACGACACUCACAGUUGUACCAAAUAUUCCAAAAACUUCCCUCCCUCAAGUCAUUGUGAUGAAAUCAAGGAAACUGAAAGAAGGUGGCAGCACUGGGAAAGCAGCUUGUUUGGCAAGGAACUUCAUUACAAAGAACAUCAGCUUGGAGAUGCCUGCUACGGAGGUGGUGUAUGAACAGAGCAGAUCCAUUUUGACAUCAGAGGGGCUGUACAAUGCAAUUAAGGUGGUCAAUGUGACACAAGACACAGAGGUGACCUGCACAGCCAAAUUUGCCAACAGCGCAAUAACAUCACAGCCAGAAGAGGAGAAUGAAGAACCAGAAACAGAGGCCAGUAAGAGGGUCUGCAACAGCACAGACACAUCUGCACAAGAUCCUGACGGGCAGAGAGUGAACAUGCUGUCCAUGGCUGUGUUGGGUUUGAGAGUCCUGCUGGCAAAGAGCAUCGCCUUCAAUGCCCUCAUGAGUAUCAAGUUGUUUCUUUUCUGAGUCACGGGGAAUGAAGGCAAGAGGAACCCGAAGAAGAGCAGGAAAGAACAUGAACCAGCAGCACAAGGGGGUUGAACAAGCAGGGGCAGAGCAGCUGACAGAGACCAGCCAGGACACAAGACAGCACCUUCCCCUCAAGACAUUGAAUCCUCUUCACUCCUGCCUGGCCAGCUGAUUUACACUGAAGAGUUUUAAGUGCUUUUGCUGUUUCCUCUCCUCUGAGGAC